GUGGGGAAUAUUGGGCAAUGGGCGAAAGCCUGACCCAGCCACGCCGCGUGAGUGAUGAAGGCCUUCGGGUUGUAAAGCUCUGUGGGGAGGGAAGAAAAAGCGCAGGAGUAACUGCCUGUGUGUUGACGGUACCUCCUUAGCAAGCACCGGCUAACUCUGUGCCAGCAGCCGCGGUAAUACAGAGGGUGCAAACGUUGCUCGGAAUUACUGGGCGUAAAGCGCGUGUAGGCUGACAUGCAAGUCGGGUGUGAAAUCCCAGGGCUCAACCUUGGAACUGCACUCGAAACUGCACGUCUUGAGUACUGGAGAGGGAAGCGGAAUUCCGGGUGUAGAGGUGAAAUUCGUAGAUAUCCGGAGGAACACCAGUGGCGAAGGCGGCUUCCUGGACAGUAACUGACGCUGAGACGCGAAAGCGUGGGGAGCAAACAGGAUUAGAUACCCGAGUAGUCC
rnacentral:rRNA from 1 species